AGAGUUUGAUUCUGGCUCAGGAUGAACGCUGGCGGCGUGCUUAACACAUGCAAGUCGAACGAAGCACCUGAGAAUGAUUCUUCGUGAUGAAGUCUCUUGUGACUGAGUGGCGGACGGGUGAGUAACGCGUGGGUAACCUGCCUCACACAGGGGGAUAACAGUUGGAAACGACCGCUAAUACCGCAUAACCCGCUGGUGCCGCAUGGCACUGACGGAAAAGAUUUUAUCGGUGUGAGAUGGACCCGCGUCUGAUUAGCCAGUUGGCAGGGUAACGGCCUACCAAAGCGACGAUCAGUAGCCGGCCUGAGAGGGUGAACGGCCACAUUGGGACUGAGACACGGCCCAGACUCCUGCGGGAGGCAGCAGUGGGGAAUAUUGCACAAUGGGGGAAACCCUGAUGCAGCGACGCCGCGUGAGUGAAGAAGUAUUUCGGUAUGUAAAGCUCUAUCAGCAGGGAAGAAAAUGACGGUACCUGAUUAAGAAGCCCCGGCUAACUACGUGCCAGCAGCCGCGGUAAUACGUAGGGGGCAAGCGUUAUCCGGAUUUACUGGGUGUAAAGGGAGCGUAGACGGUGAUGCAAGUCAGAAGUGAAAGCCCGGGGCUCAACUCCGGGACUGCUUUUGAAACUGUGUGACUGGAGUGCAGGAGAGGUAAGCGGAAUUCCUGGUGUAGCGGUGAAAUGCGUAGAUAUCAGGAAGAACACCAGUGGCGAAGGCGGCUUUCUGGUCUGUAACUGACGUUGAGGCUCGAAAGCGUGGGGAGCCCCUCAUAAGGUAGAUACCCUGGUAGUCCACGCCGUAAAACGAUGAAAUAUUGGGGUGUCGGAAAGCAAAGCUCUUCGGUGCGUCAGCACACGCAUUAAAUAUUCCACUUGGGGAGUAUGUUCGCAAGAAAUGACAUUCAAAGGAAUUGACGGGGGACCCCGCACAAGCGGUUGGAGCAUGUGGUUUAAUUUGAAAGCAACGCGCAGAACCUUACCAGGUCUGGACAUCCCUCUGACCGGGAUUUAACCGUCCCUUUCCUUCGGGACAGAGGAGACAGGUGGUGCAUGGUUGUCGUCAGCUCGCGUCGUGAGAUGUUGGGUUAAGUCCCGCAACGAGCGCAACCCUUACCUUCAGUAGCCAGCGGUUCGGCCGGGCACUCUGGAGGGACUGCCAGGGACAACCUGGAGGAAGGUGGGGAUGACGUCAAAUCAUCAUGCCCCUUAUGAUCUGGGCUACACACGUGCUACAAUGGCGUAAACAAAGGGAAGCGAGACAGUGAUGGCAAGCAAAUCUCAGAAAUAACGUCCCAGUUCGGAUUGUAGUCUGCAACUCGACUACAUGAAGCUGGAAUCGCUAGUAAUCGCGGAUCAGAAUGCCGCGGUGAAUACGUUCCCGGGUCUUGCACACACCGCCCGUCA
rnacentral:rRNA from 1 species